rnacentral:rRNA from 1 species
UACGUAGGUGGCAAGCGUUGUCCGGAUUUACUGGGUGUAAAGGGCGUGCAGCCGGGAAGACAAGUCAGAUGUGAAAUCCCGCGGCUCAACCGCGGAACUGCAUUUGAAACUGUUUUUCUUGAGUAUCGGAGAGGUAACCGGAAUUCCUAGUGUAGCGGUGAAAUGCGUAGAUAUUAGGAGGAACACCAGUGGCGAAGGCGGGUUACUGGACGACAACUGACGGUGAGGCGCGAAAGCGUGGGGGGCAAACAGG